rnacentral:rRNA from 1 species
GCCAUGCGAGUCUUUGUAGUAAUACAAGGCAGACGGCUCAGUAACACGUAGUCAACCUACCCUAUGGACAAGAAUAAUCUCGGGAAACUGGGCAUAAUUCUUGAUAGAUCAUAAUGCCUGGAAUGGUUUAUGGUUAAAAUGAUUCGUCGCCAUAGGAUGGGACUGCGGCCUAUCAGCUUGUUGGUGAGGUAAUGGCCCACCAAGGCGAUUACAGGUACGGGCUCUGAGAGGAGAAGCCCGGAGAUGGGUACUGAGACACGGACCCAGGCCCUAUGGGGCGCAGCAGGCGAGAAAACUUUGCAAUGUGCGAAAGCACGACAAGGUUAAUCCGAGUGAUUUCUGCUAAAGAAAUCUUUUGCCAGUCAUAAAACCACUGGUGAAUAAGGGGUGGGCAAGUUCUGGUGUCAGCCGCCGCGGUAAAACCAGCACCUCAAGUGGUCAGGAUGAUUAUUGGGCCUAAAGCAUCCGUAGCCGGCUUUGUAAGUUUUCGGUUAAAUCCAUGUGCUCAACGCAUGGGCUGCCGAAAAUACUGCAUGGCUAGGGAGUGGGAGAGGUAGACGGUACUCAGUAGGAAGGGGUAAAAUCCUUUGAUCUAUUGAUGACCACCUGUGGCGAAGGCGGUCUACCAGAACACGUUCGACGGUGAGGGAUGAAAGCUGGGGGAGCAAACCGGAUUAGAUACCCGGGUAGUCCCAGCUGUAAACGAUGCAGACUCGAUGAUGCAUUGGCAUAAUAGCCAGUGCAGUGUCGCAGGGAAGCCGUUAAGUCUGCCGCCUGGGAAGUACGUACGCAAGUAUGAAACUUAAAGGAAUUGGCGGGGGAGCACCA